rnacentral:rRNA from 1 species
UACGUAGGGUGCAAGCGUUAAUCGGAAUUACUGGGCGUAAAGCGUGCGCAGGCGGUUGUGCAAGACAGAUGUGAAAUCCCCGGGCUCAACCUGGGAAUUGCAUUUGUGACUGCACGGCUAGAGUGUGUCAGAGGGGGGUAGAAUUCCACGUGUAGCAGUGAAAUGCGUAGAGAUGUGGAGGAAUACCGAUGGCGAAGGCAGCCCCCUGGGCCUGCACUGACGCUCAUGCACGAAAGCGUGGGGAGCAAACAGG